GUAGGUGGCGAGCGUUGUCCGGAUUUAUUGGGCGUAAAGCGCGCGCAGGCGGUUCGGUGCGUCUGAUGUGAAAGCGCCCGGCUCAACUGGGCGAGGUCAUUGGAAACGGCCGGACUGGAGACAGGUAGAGGCCGGUGGAAUUCCCGGUGUAGUGGUGAAAUGCGUAGAGAUCGGGAGGAACACCCGUGGCGAAGGCGGCCGGCUGGGCCUGUUCUGACGCUGAGGCGCGAAAGCGUGGGGAGCGAACCGGAUUAGAUACCCGGGUAGUCCACGCGGUAAACGAUGGCCACUAGGUGUGGGGGGUAUCGACCCCCUCCGUGCCGUAGCUAACGCGAUAAGUGGCCCGCCUGGGGAGUACGGCCGCAAGGCUA
rnacentral:rRNA from 1 species